GCGGCGACGUCCACGCAUUUUCUGACGUAGCGAGCGACGGCGGGGAGCCGAGCGGAAGUCCAGCACUAUUGCCGCUAGAGGAGGGGAGGGGUGAGAAGCAUAAGUGGCACCGGAAGUGGAAUUAAUCCGCCUACCUCUCCUGCGCCUGCGAAACAGAAAAGACAAGGCGCCUGUCGGGCGGGGUGUGGCUUCGGGUGGCGGAGAACGCUGCGAUUGGCCCUCGGCUGUGGCGACAGCGACGAUUGGUCCCUGCGUGCAGAGCGCGGUGAGAGUGGGUGGUGGCCGUUGGAAUUCAAAAGUGGCGGGUGUGGCGCGGGGCUGGUAGCGGCC
rnacentral:sRNA from 1 species